AUAAUGGGUCAGCGACUUAUAUUCUGUAGCAAGGUUAACCGAAUAGGGGAGCCGAAGGGAAACCGAGUCUUAACUGGGCGUUAAGUUGCAGGGUAUAGACCCGAAACCCGGUGAUCUAGCCAUGGGCAGGUUGAAGGUUGGGUAACACUAACUGGAGGACCGAACCGACUAAUGUUGAAAAAUUAGCGGAUGACUUGUGGCUGGGGGUGAAAGGCCAAUCAAACCGGGAGAUAGCUGGUUCUCCCCGAAAGCUAUUUAGGUAGCGCCUCGUGAAUUCAUCUCCGGGGGUAGAGCACUGUUUCGGCAAGGGGGUCAUCCCGACUUACCAACCCGAUGCAAACUGCGAAUACCGGAGAAUGUUAUCACGGGAGACACACGGCGGGUGCUAACGUCCGUCGUGAAGAGGGAAACAACCCAGACCGCCAGCUAAGGUCCCAAAGUCAUGGUUAAGUGGGAAACGAUGUGGGAAGGCCCAGACAGCCAGGAUGUUGGCUUAGAAGCAGCCAUCAUUUAAAGAAAGCGUAAUAGCUCACUGGUCGAGUCGGCCUGCGCGGAAGAUGUAACGGGGCUAAACCAUGCACCGAAGCUGCGGCAGCGACGCUGAUGCGUUGUUGGGUAGGGGAGCGUUCUGUAAGCCUGUGAAGGUGUGCUGUGAGGCAUGCUGGAGGUAUCAGAAGUGCGAAUGCUGACAUAAGUAACGAUAAAGCGGGUGAAAAGCCCGCUCGCCGGAAGACCAAGGGUUCCUGUCCAACGUUAAUCGGGGCAGGGUGAGUCGACCCCUAAGGCGAGGCCGAAAGGCGUAGUCGAUGGGAAACAGGUUAAUAUUCCUGUACUUGGUGUUACUGCGAAGGGGGGACGGAGAAGGCUAUGUUGGCCGGGCGACGGUUGUCCCGGUUUAAGCGUGUAGGCUGGUUUUCCAGGCAAAUCCGGAAAAUCAAGGCUGAGGCGUGAUGACGAGGCACUACGGUGCUGAAGCAACAAAUGCCCUGCUUCCAGGAAAAGCCUCUAAGCAUCAGGUAACAUCAAAUCGUACCCCAAACCGACACAGGUGGUCAGGUAGAGAAUACCAAGGCGCUUGAGAGAACUCGGGUGAAGGAACUAGGCAAAAUGGUGCCGUAACUUCGGGAGAAGGCACGCUGAUAUGUAGGUGAAGUCCCUCGCGGAUGGAGCUGAAAUCAGUCGAAGAUACCAGCUGGCUGCAACUGUUUAUUAAAAACACAGCACUGUGCAAACACGAAAGUGGACGUAUACGGUGUGACGCCUGCCCGGUGCCGGAAGGUUAAUUGAUGGGGU
rnacentral:rRNA from 1 species